CACCUCAAAAUGCCUAAAUAUUCUCACAACUACCACGCGACCCAUCUUCUUUCUUUUUUACGAUCAUUAUCUUUUUGUUUUCCUUUUUUACGAAUCAUUCUUUUUUUCUCCAAUUUUUUACCCAUCACUAACCUAGUAUUUGUCUAAAAAUCCCCACAAAGAAUAUCCCUCCUUCUCGCCACUUCCAGUGUUGUCCGCCGUCACCGUUGAUUCUGAAAGUGCUACUCUUUCCGUCCAUUGUCGCCGCCUCCUUAAUUUUCAGGGCUGCCAUUGCUGCUCUUUGAGAGGACGCUUGUAACAGCGGAAUUGGGCGUGUAUAGACUUUUGAGUGAUUAUGAUCUUUAAGCAGGAGCGUAUUGCAUUUUUUUGUAUCAAUAUGAACAUGAAGAUGGCUGAAAAUAUUGAGGGUGACGAAGAGGUUGAAGUUAAGAAGACAAAUGUGGAAGCGCGAAAGGCAAAAAUGAAAAAAAAUAAUAA